rnacentral:rRNA from 1 species
ACUCCUACGGGAGGCAGCAGUGGGGAAUUUUGCGCAAUGGGGGAAACCCUGACGCAGCAACGCCGCGUGAGUGAUGAAGGCCCUUGGGUCGUAAAGCUCUGACAGAGGGAAAGAAGUGCAGGGUGGCUAAUACCCAUCUUACUUGACGGUACCCUCAAAGGAAGCACCGGCUAACUCCGUGCCAGCAGCCGCGGUAAUACGGGGGGUGCAAGCGUUGUUCGGAUUUAUUGGGCGUAAAGCGCGUGUAGGCGGUUUUAUAAGUCUGAUGUGAAAGCCCUGGGCUCAACCCGGGAAGUGCAUUGGAUACUGUAAGACUUGAAUACGGGAGAGGGCAGUGGAAUUCCUAGUGUAGGAGUGAAAUCCGUAGAUAUUAGGAGGAACACCGGUGGCGAAGGCGGCUGCCUGGACCGAUAUUGACGCUGAGACGCGAAAGCGUGGGUAGCAAACAGGAUUAGAUACCCUGGUAGUCCACGCCGUAAACGAUGAGAACUAGGUGUUGCGGGUA